rnacentral:rRNA from 1 species
CCUACGGGAGGCAGCAGUGGGGAAUAUUGCACAAUGGGGGAAACCCUGAUGCAGCAACGCCGCGUGAAGGAAGACGGUUUUCGGAUUGUAAACUUCUGUUUUUAGUGAAGAAUAAUGACGGUAGCUAAGGAGCAAGCCACGUCUAAAUACGUGCCAGCAGCCGCGGUAAUACGUAGGUGGCAAGCGUUGUCCGGAAUUACUGGGUGUAAAGGGAGCGCAUGCGGGAAGCCAAGCCAGCUGUGAAAACUACGGGCUUAACUUGUAGACUGCAGUUUAAACUGGUUUUCUUGAGUGAAGUAGGGGGUAGCGGAAAUGCGAGUGUAGCGGUGAAAAGCCUAGAUAAUCG